rnacentral:rRNA from 1 species
GUCUAUGGCCAUACCACCCUGAACAAGCCUGAUCCUGUCUGAUCUUGGAAGCUAAGCAGGGCCGGGUCUGGUUAAUAAUUGGAUGGGAGACCACCUAGGAAGACCAGGUGCUGUAGGCG